AAUCAACGCUGGCGGCGUGCCUAACACAUGCAAGUCGUGCGCGAAAGCCCCGCAAGGGGUGAGUAGAGCGGCGAACGGGUGAGUAACGCGUGGGUGACCUGCCCUCGAGUGGGGGAUAACAUCCCGAAAGGGGUGCUAAUACCGCAUGACAUCCCUCGGUUGAAGACGAGGCGAUUAAAGCCGGGGACCGCAAGGCCUGGCGCUCGAGGAGGGGCCCGCGUCCGAUUAGCUAGUUGGUAGGGUAACGGCCUACCAAGGCGACGAUCGGUAGCCGGCC
rnacentral:rRNA from 1 species